GAAAGAAACAACAAAAAAAGCAAAUAGUGUUUCGGUGAGUAGGCAGUAGUUUCUGGAUGUAUAUAUUCCUUCGCCACAUUUGAGCAGACUCCCCAAUCCCCUUUGCUCGUCUCCCCUCCAGCGUGUGUGCACACACAUGCCACUUCUGGAAUGAAACGAUGCCUAGGAAAGUCUGGAUCAAAAGGAGAAUUUGUCAGAAGAAUUAUGAGGGAACAAGAACUUGUUGUAAAAGACACCCCUGGGGCUGGCAGGACAUUCUUGCAGCAUUACCCUUGCAGGCUGGUUUUAGAACUCAACUGCACAGAACAGGGCAGGCCCUCGCUCCACCUCCGCUUAGUUUAUACUCCGGGAACAGCACUCACGAGGGCCAAGAGCUGCUCUCCCCACGCUGCACCUCACCACGGGGCACAGCGGGACAGACCCGGCUAGCCACUCAGGAAGAACGUCCCAAAGGUGAUAGUGAGAGGUCAAGGAGCUUGCCUCCAAAGGAUAGAUUUGAAAGCACUGGGCCCGCUGUGCCUGGGACAGGCUGGAGGCAGCCCAGCCUGGAGACUGUGGCAUGGGCCACGUGAUACCCACAUACCCCUGCACCGUGGCUGGGACGUCCUCAGAGAGGCUGAGGCAUGUUGGGCAUGUGGCUGACUGAGAGUUGGGGACCUGCCUUUUAGCCCCAGCUCUGGCACUAACAAGUUGGGUGGUCUUGAGCAAUUCAGUCAGCUCAGUCAGCUCUCUGAAGCCUCACCAGGGAACUAAAAAGAAAAGUUUCUUCUGAAAAUGUUUCUUGGGUAGCUCCUCCUGGUGCGUGGUUCUGCUGCACACGCAUGGACGCUGGUGUGAGAUAAACGCUCAUUCUUGCUGGAGCAGCUCCUGCUGCACCUGCCCUGAUGGAGCAGCUGAGUGGUCUCUGGCCUGCACUCGGAAGGGCCAGUUCUACCUGGUGCAGGUGAACCCGGCAGCAUGGCGUGGUGGAGACCGGGGGGCUGGGAAGUCAGGCACGCUCGAAGCCUUGCAUGGCCACCAGCCAGCAGUCUGACCAUGAGUCAAUGCUAUAAUCUCUGUAAGCCUCAGCUCUCCCAACUAUUAAACAAGGCUACAGUUAUGAGGAAUAAACGAGGCGUUUCAUGAUACAUGCCUGGUGUGCACACUGCCUGGCACACAGUAGGCCUUCAAUAAAUAGCAGUUCCCUUCAUUUAGGAAAGGUCCCACCUUUGACCUCGAUUUUCCCACUGGUAAAAUUCUGGGGAAUAAAUUGCCUUCUCCCUGCCUCACAUGAAUGUGUGCAGAUGGAACGACAUAAACACAUGUUGUCAUGGUGUCACUUCCUUAGAACCCAGAUAUAAAAGCAGGAAUCAUUCCAGAUCAGAGCUGUGUCGGCCGCUCCGUUCCUGGCAACAGGCUACAGCCAGAGUUCUCCACCGCCUUGUGAGAGCUCUCCAUGAAGCUGUCCCCGACAUGCCCAGCCCACACUGGCCUCUCCCAGCUCCAGAGUCCACCGCUCUGUAGCGGAAGGGACACCCUUCCCCCAGCAGGAGCUGGCAGCAGCCCUGAACGGAGAGCUGAGGAUGUGAGCUCGGACACAGGACUAUGCCUCUGAGCCUCAGUCUCCACGCCUGACCCGUCUGCCUUAGGGGCUCUUUUCAGUCCCAAGUGGCGCAAUGUGAGUCUUUAGUGAAUGUUGAAGAGAACACUGAAGAUGGUAACGACGACCUCAUUUCACAUGUGAACAGCCUUCCUUCCUGCUGGGGCUUCAGUUGCUCAGGUGCUCCGGAGUGAAGACCCUGACAUAACCCGGCUUAUGUCCUUCAUCUCCGCCCCCCACCCUGGCACGAAAACACCUGUAACAAGCACACGGGAUGCCCAAUAUGAAAACUGAGGUCCACAGAGAGCAGAGGCUGGACUAAGGCACACAGCAAGCUGACACCCCAGUAGUGAGGAAGAAUGGAGAGAAGACUGAACCACCAUGCAGGUAUCCACGCAUUCGGCAGACCUGCCAGGUCACCACUCUGGACCCUUUUCAGCACCAGUGUGCGAUGGAAGCCUGGUAAAAGUCUUGGCAAAAAUUGGAGCCCAGAAACUGGAUCUGGUCCUCAUCAUCCCAUCUGCACGGCGCGGCUGGCCGGGAGUCUCCACGGACCUGCCUACCGGGAGCCAGACGCUGCGCAGAGCUCCGACCCGGGUGACCGCUCCAAGGCGGAGUGGGGUGGGGUGGCCCCACAGCUCACAGCCAGGGAUGCAAACACCAUGCAGACCCCUCUGCCUCCUGCCCCGGAGCUUUCUGAAGAGCCGGUGUUAGCCCUGCCUGAGGCGGUUGGGUGCAGAGGGUCAGGGAAGCCGGGGAGGGUCAGGCAGCACUGGCGAGGUUCCAGCUGGGGCCAAAGCAUACCCAGCUCCAGCGAUUUCUAGGGUGAGAAGAGGAAGCUAAAGGAUGCCACGAAAUCACAAGAGCAGGCUACCGUCCGUUCAGUUUUCACUCACUACUCUACGUGAUUCUCAAAAGGGCUGGUACCGCCCUACUCACUAAAGGGCAUUUGGAAAUGUGUGGAGGUGUGUGUGGUUGCCACAGUGACCAGAGGGGUGAGGGGAUGAUGGCAAUGGUGUGUAAAGCUUGGGGUGCAUCCUGCACCACUAAGAACUGUCCCAUCCCAAAUGACCGGUGUCCCUGCUAAGGAAAACUCAAUUCCUGUGACGACCACUGGUAGCCCCCCACUGACUGCGGGAUUCCCAGCACUCUUGGAGGACGAAGUCGCCAAUAAGCAAACACUUGCCCCCUGCAGCGCACCACGCCCUGGCCACACAGCCCUGAGGUUUGUCUAGGCGGUGUGGGCAAUCUUGACCCUGCCGGCUGGGGUCUGUCCUGCUUUUCCAGACUCCCUGGAGUGCCUGAUUCUAAGCACUGGCCCUCCUCCCUGCUCAUCUGUCACCAUCCCUGUCCCUCACAAAGGGGCUCAGUCAAAUGAUGGACAGAGCCAGCAUCACGCAAGUCAGCAUCUCUGGGUCAGGGCCUUGCUCCUGGGUCGCUGCUGAGUGCCCUGAGAAAGACAGUAACGUCUCUGAGCCACACCCAUUCCCGCUUGCCCCGUCACCCAUCUAAGCAGGGCACAAACCUUGGGCUCUCACCACCAACAGUGCACGUGGGCUGUGCUGGGGACACGAACAGGGCUUGGGGCUUCUCUGAACACAGGGGCUGCACAUGUUUGAUGCUUAGACCAGGUGGGUGGGUGGCUGUGGCCAAAACCCUCGUGCUCUGCCAGGGCGGCACUCCUAAAGCCUGGGAGGAAGCCAGGCCCAGGCACUCCUGCUCCCAGCCCUGACUUGCAGGCAUCUUCCUCGCGCCUCCUGGCUAAGUUGCAGUCCCGACCCCAGGCAGUGGGCCGGGGGCCGUGGCUGUGUUCAAGAAGCCUGGCACACCCUCCCAGAGCCGAGGACGACAGAUGACAGAUGUGUGCCAUCAAAGAACGAUAGGGACACGAAAAGGAGUGGCAUGCUUACAUGUGGAGAGGGCUAGGCAUGGGAGGGGAGGAGGGGCUAGGCGGGCACUGGCUGCGUGCUGCGUGACCCUGCGCAGGGCGGCCCGCUGGAAGAUGUCUCCCCAGGAAGAGCGGCUGUGCUCUCUGCAGGGGGCCAGGCCAGAGCUCCCAUUUGCUCCACACAUUAAGCUCCAGUUGAGAAUCUGUUCUGGCCAGGACGGGCCCUUAGAGAGCAUGCAUGUACCUCCCAGUCUUGCCGACAGAGAAAGCGAGGUCCAGAGAAGGUAAAUGCCCAAGCCACGGUACACAGCCCGUGGCAGGACGGGGAAGAGAACCCAUGCCUCCUGAGCUGCCUUCUGCACCUGCCGCCAGUCUGCUCCACUCACUGUGCCUUCCCCACCUCUUCACCAUCCACCCUCUGCUUCUGAGACCCUCCAUCACCCCUCCUCUAUUUCUCACCAGCCGACCUCUGUGCUCUCACAGACCCCCGAGUGCAGAAAGGUGGAGGUGCGCAUUACAUGCUGGGAAUGUAAAAGCUGAAUCACCCCAAGGCGGGCAGGACACCUUCCUCCGCGGCUGCCUCUGUUGCUGCAGUGGACAGAGACCCCGCGAACAGGUCCUGCCCCGCAGGUCCUCACCUGCAGAGAGCGGGCUGCAUGUUUCCACGCGGCUCGCCCAGCACUCUGCUGGUGGGUGGAGAAGUUACAGGUCCUCAACGUUUUUCCUUCCUGUUAUGGGUUAAACUGUGCCCCCCAAAAUGGCAUGUUGAAGUCCUAACCCCCCAGUACUGGAGAAUGUGACCUUAUCUGGAAAUAGGGUCUUUACAGAGGCAAUAAAGGUAAAAUGAGGCCAUUAAAGAGGGCCCUAAUCUAAUAUGACCGGUGUCCUCACAAAAAAGGGACAUUGGUACACAGACAUGUACAGAGGAAGACCACACGAGACACAGGGAGAACCCCAUGGAAAGAUGAAGACUGAGGGACAAGCUACAGCCGAGAAAGAGAGGCGAGCAGAGGGUGGGCAGAGGUGCGGGGUGGCUGCCUCCUUGGGUCUUCAGAUGGAGCCAGCCCUGCCCACAACCUUGAUUUGGAACUUCUGGCUUCCAGAACUGUGAGAGAAUAAAGUCCUGCUGUUUGAAGCCACGCCGUUUGUGGUAGUUUGUUACGGCAGUGCCAGGAAACUCAUACAGUCCCUCACUCAUGGUGGUCUUCCUACGCCACCGGCCGUACCCCGGCGCCCCCUCCGUUGUCCGCAAGACACGAUGUAUGGUUGGGAUUCUGUUAACGGGCCACAGAGUACAAGCUAAAUCACGUAUACCGUGGAUCAAAAGAGCUCCUGGAAUGUGUCUAGGAAACUCAGACUACCCUGCACAGUUCCCCAACACCUUCCUCCCUCCUCCCCCAACCAAGGCCCUCGGCCGGUCUCAGCGGCUGGGCCAGGAGGCCUUCGCGGCAGAUGGCGGUCUGUGGCCAGCUGGAGGAAGAGCCUGGGAAGCGGGGAGCGCGCAGGGGCACGGGGCUGGGCACAUGGGAGGAGAAAAUCCUCUAACUGCCCCAAACAUCUGUUGGGAGAACAAACAGCUAAACAUGGAUCAAAGAGAGUUCUAAGUAACAGAGAGAACAGUUUUACAACACAGCACACGGAUAAAGCCAACUGGAAAAGCUGCCGACCAGGCUCCAGUUCUUCCUUCGGGGAACAAACAAACUGACAGAGUCCAAGAGAGAAGUGUGCGCACGUGGGCAGAUCUGGAAGCCAGAGAAAGCCCACGCUCUGUCGCACGGCAAGCUUCCUAGAGAAGGGAGAGAAGGACAGGGAACGCCAGAAGGGAAGGGAGAGCUGGCAUCAGGAACCAAAGAAGUCUUGUCAGUAGGUUACACACAUCAUAACGCUCCAUACACCUGCAAUAGGCUCCGGAAGUCAAAUCAACAUGAAUAUAGACAUUAAUAAUAUUCGGUGUUAUUAAUUUGCUCCUUUAAAAAUUAAUUUAAGAAACCACUGUUUAU